GAGAGAGCAAGUUCCAAAGAGAUGUUAAGCAUCACGAUGCAAUACAGGGCCAUCCAAGCGGUGCCGUCAGCCUGAAAGGCAUUAUGGGAAUGGAUUAUCUCAAGAGAACUGUUAUGGACAAGGUCAUCUUUGAUAUAACAGUUCCUCGAGAUCUAACGGGUAUGUUUAACAAGAGCGAAAUCAUCACAGGACAGAGGUAUACACGCGCUUCGUAUGUACCAUGAACCAAUAGGAAUGCAGUGCUGCAAGAAAGCCAUGCAAGUGCCAGUACAUCUCCUCGUGCUCACCACGUGCAAGCGUAUGUUGCAAAUCGACGAUUUCUCCCUUGGAAAUUUCAGUGGAUUUUUUAAAAUUUACUCUUCAAAAUGUUUUUGUGAAGUCCAUUUAUCAGGUUUGUUUGAAAGUCAAAUUUACAUAUUUUAACAAUAGCAUGAAGACUUUUCGACUAAUUCGUAUACGGACUUGGAGCAUGCGCAAAUCUCUUUCACUUGCAUCGUGUUUGCUCGCCGCCAUAUUGGAUUAGUUAUGUCAUAAACUCAUGAUUAACACAGAAGCAAACCAAUCGACAUUAAAAUCGUGGUCGGUCAAAAUGACCGGCAGCAAGAGAUUUCCUGACCGGACAAGCUUCAUUUCUGUCCGGACAUUGUCCUUUAAUGACCGGCUAUCGUUACCCCUGAUUAUUUUAUCCAGCAGUUUUUUUAAGGAACGUAGAUUUGUUGUACUAAAUUAUUCUCGUGACUCCAGCCUUAUGGCUGAAAACGUUCUUUACUGGGCUUCACACUGACCGACACUGGAAACUCGAUAGAUCUCGAUAGACCUCUUCAGUUACCUUUGGUGUAAUCUUUUCACACCACGUGUCAGUAACUCUCUUAAAGUUCAUAUAACCCCUAAGAACAAACCACUUUAGUCGAAUUCUAGAAAUCAUCAGCUUUCAAAUGAUAUACAUAUCAGGUGGAUUGUAGCCUGCGUGCCUCCGAACGUUUACAACAGAAAAUUCCGGAUGCAGCGCAGGCUAGUGGAUUGGGAAAUUCCUCUAUUCUAGGCUUUCUGUGUCAAAUUGGCCGUGAAAAAGUGAUCUGGAAACGAGAGUAAUUCGUGACGUCAAGAUAGGUAUCGGAGAAUGCGUACUAGGUACUCUUGUGCCUUCUCUAAGAAAUGACAAGUGAUCUGAAACAGCAAGACAUUACGCCGAACUGAGGUAACUGAGAGGUCUAUUUUAGUACCUAUGCCUAUGACUUUGAAAAACGAAACUGUAGAUUUGCUUACUGAAGAAGAUCACAACAGUUAUAGAUUUCAAGGGGCGGAAGGAGAGAGUUUCAGGGCCCAAGUGACCCUGAGUAACAGACCCUAUAUAUUAUCUGGGAAACAACGGAUAUUCAUCUCACGAUCAGAGAAUCGAAUUUCAUUCAUAUAAAUUGCUUGUUUCGGGUUUUGAUAGCGAUAGAAAAAGAAUGUACAUGAUUACACCUAAACUAAAGCCCCGUUUACACGAGCGAUCUUUGCGGCGAUUUUUGCUGC